rnacentral:rRNA from 1 species
UUGGAGGGCAAGUCUGGUGCCAGCAGCCGCGGUAAUUCCAGCUCCAAUAGCGUAUAUUAAAGUUGUUGCAGUUAAAAAGCUCGUAGUUGAAUUUCGGGGUUCUACCGUUGGUCGGGCUUUGUCUGUACUGGUGUGUAGAAUUUCUACCUUCUGGGGAACCAUCAUGCUAUUAAUUUAGCGUGGUGGGAAACCAGGACCUUUACCUUGAAAAAAUUAGUGUGUUCAAAGCAGGCUUAUGUCUGAAUACAUUAGCGUGGAAUAAUAGAAUAGGACGGUGGUCCUGUUUUGUUGGUUUCUGAAUCACCGUAAUGAUUAAUAGGGAUAGUUGGGGGCAUUAGUAUUCAAUUGUCAGAGGUGAAAUUCUUGGAUUUAUUGAAGACUAACUUCUGCGAAAGCAUUUGCCAAGGAUGUUUUCAUUAAUCAAGAACGAAAGUUAGGGGAUCGAAGACGAUCAGAUACCGUCAUAGUCUUAACCAUAAACUAUGCCGACUAGGGAUCGGACGAUGUUAAUUUUUCUUGACUCGUUCGGCGCCUUACGGGAAAC